GAGAGGAACCUUGAUGAAAGGACGGUCGACGAUACAAGAAUUUCGUUAAAUUUGCGGCUGACACGGAGAACCCAGCCGAAAUGCAUGUACGUUUCAGCAUGUUGACGAUUUUCCGAUAUUCCGAUGACGGAUCCGCCAUGCUCUCGCCAAAGUAGGUGAUAGACGUCCCGGGGACGGGGCGAUUACAUAUCGACAGCAUACACCAUCAGAGAUGCAGUUACACGGGGAGACAUCCCUGGUCUUUUGGCUGCCGGAGUUUCAGCCCUGUUCGAAUUAUUUCCUCCAAUGUCAUUUUACUGGGCUAUUGAGGACGAGGCAAUGAUUCCAGUUUCAAACAGUUUUGAAACGCUGCCCGCGCGCUGCCACAGCGCAUGGAUCGAGAUAUACACAAAAAUCAUGUAUU